UACGGAGGGUGCAAGCGUUAUCCGGAUUCACUGGGUUUAAAGGGUGCGUAGGUGGGCAGUUAAGUCAGUGGUGAAAUCUCCGGGCUUAACCCGGAAACUGCCAUUGAUACUAUUUGUCUUGAAUACCGUGGAGGUGAGCGGAAUAUGUCAUGUAGCGGUGAAAUGCUUAGAUAUGACAUAGAACACCAAUUGCGAAGGCAGCUCACUACACGAAUAUUGACACUGAGGCACGAAAGCGUGGGGAUCAAACAGG
rnacentral:rRNA from 1 species